rnacentral:rRNA from 1 species
CGAACGAGUUUAGACUCGUGGCGUACGGCUCAGUAACACGUGGAUAACCUACCCUUAGGACUGGGAUAACCCUGGGAAACUGGGGAUAAUACUAGAUAGGCAAUUUUUCCUGUAAUGGUUUUUUGUUUAAAUGUUUUUUUCGCCUAAGGAUGGGUCUGCGGCCGAUUAGGUAGUUGGUUAGGUAAUGGCUUACCAAGCCGUUGAUCGGUACGGGUUGUGAGAGCAAGAGCCCGGAGAUGGAACCUGAGACAAGGUUCCAGGCCCUACGGGGUGCAGCAGGCGCGAAACCUCCGCAAUGUGAGAAAUCGCGUCGGGGGGAUCCCAAGUGCCAUUCUUAACGGGAUGGCUUUUCAUUAGUGUAAA